UGAGGAUUAGCUCAGUUGGUCAGAGCGCACCCCUGAUAAGGGUGAGGCCGCUGGUUCGAAUCCAGCAUCUUCAACCA
rnacentral:tRNA from 1 species